rnacentral:lncRNA from 1 species
ACAUAGCCAAGAAGGCAUCUAUGCUGCUUCAGCUUGUCGUUAAUACUGCGUUCUUCCAUCACCUUCAGUGAUCACAUCUUUAAAAGCUCCACCACUGGGGAUCAUAGGCAGGACAUGCUCUUGAUGAGGAACGAUGACGUCCAGAAGGUAUGGUCCAGGAGUGUCCAACAUAGUCUGAAUUGCGGCUCUCAGAUCUGCCUUCCUUGUUACUUGUGCUCCAGGUAUUCCACAGGCUUCUGCAAACUUCAACAUAUUCGGAAAUAUUUCAGACUCUCUUGAUGGAUCUCCCAAAUACGUGUGAGCCCUAUUUGCCUUGUAAAACCGAUCCUCCCAUUGCAUCACCAUGCCCAAGUGCUGAUUAUUCAACAGCAAUAUCUUG